GACCAAGAAGUAGCCCGAUGGAAUCAAGUUUCACUAAAAUGUGUUUUGGUGUUGGUAUGUAACAAUGUCGGCCACCUUGAGCACAUUUUUGCGUCAUUCUGUUAGCGGUAUCCAAUCUAGUGUGAUAUGAAAGUCCAUCCUAGAGGGAUCCAACCUAUGAUUGAAUCCACCGUUGUGUGCUCAUUAUGAACAUUAUUAAACAACCUCAAGUAAACAAUACCCCCACCACCACGCCCCAUAUCAUGUAUGACUAUAUUGAGUUCUUGUUUCGGGCUUAAAAAGACCCAAAUUGGAACAAUAUUUCUUUUACCAUAGCCUUCCCAAAGUGGAAAUUUGUAGGAUUAAUUUUAGCCGAAGACAACAACUUUUC
rnacentral:lncRNA from 1 species